ACACCUCAACUUCUCAUGGUUUGCCAUGAUGAGCUUGGACUUUGGGGGUCUUGCCGGCCUAUGGUUGGCUCCUCUCAAAUGGAUCAGCUUGCCAGUGUUUGGUGGCACCACAGGUGUGAUAAAUAUCUACGCUUGUGGUUUUCCACCAUGUAACCUUCAGCAAUGAAGGUUCGCUGGGGCUCAUAAAUGUGUCUCUCUUCAGCGAGGACAGCUCUUUGAAC
rnacentral:misc_RNA from 1 species